UAUUGAACAACUUUAUCUCAAUCAAAGACGCAAUUUCCAACGAGGAUACAAGGAAUAUAAAUGUUCUUGCAAUGAUAGCAAAUGUCAAGCCUAUGAUCAAGUACGUUACAAGAUAUAAUAAGGCGGACACAAGGCGGGACAUCAUUAUAGUAGACAAAGAUGAGAUAACAUUGUCUGUAACUUUAUUCGGAGAUUUAGC